rnacentral:tRNA from 1 species
ACCUGGGUGGCUCAGUCGGUAAAGCAUCCGACUUCGGCUCGGGUCAUGAUCUUGUGGUUCAUGGGUUCGAGCCCCACGUCAGGCU